UGCAGUAGAACGCUGAAGAGAGGAGCUUGCUCCUUCCUUGGAUGAGUUGCGAACGGGUGAGUAACGCGUAGGUAACCUGCCUUGUAGCGGGGGAUAACUAUUGGAAACGAUAGCUAAUACCGCAUAACAAUGGGUGACUCAUGUCAUUUAUUUGAAAGGGGCAAAUGCUCCACUACAAGAUGGACCUGCGUUGUAUUAGCUAGUAGGUGAGGUAACGGCUCACCUAGGCGACGAUACAUAGCCGACCUGAGAGGGUGAUCGGCCACACUGGGACUGAGACACGGCCCAGACUCCUACGGGAGGCAGCAGUAGGGAAUCUUCGGCAAUGGGGGCAACCCUGACCGAGCAACGCCGCGUGAGUGAAGAAGGUUUUCGGAUCGUAAAGCUCUGUUGUAAGUCAAGAACGAGUGUGAGAGUGGAAAGUUCACACUGUGACGGUAGCUUACCAGAAAGGGACGGCUAACUACGUGCCAGCAGCCGCGGUAAUACGUAGGUCCCGAGCGUUGUCCGGAUUUAUUGGGCGUAAAGCGAGCGCAGGCGGUUUGAUAAGUCUGAAGUUAAAGGCUGUGGCUCAACCAUAGUUCGCUUUGGAAACUGUCAAACUUGAGUGCAGAAGGGGAGAGUGGAAUUCCAUGUGUAGCGGUGAAAUGCGUAGAUAUAUGGAGGAACACCGGUGGCGAAAGCGGCUCUCUGGUCUGUAACUGACGCUGAGGCUCGAAAGCGUGGGGAGCGAACAGGAUUAGAUACCCUGGUAGUCCACGCCGUAAACGAUGAGUGCUAGGUGUUGGAUCCUUUCCGGGAUUCAGUGCCGCAGCUAACGCAUUAAGCACUCCGCCUGGGGAGUACGACCGCAAGGUUGAAACUCAAAGGAAUUGACGGGGGCCCGCACAAGCGGUGGAGCAUGUGGUUUAAUUCGAAGCAACGCGAAGAACCUUACCAGGUCUUGACAUCCCGAUGCUAUUUCUAGAGAUAGAAAGUUACUUCGGUACAUCGGUGACAGGUGGUGCAUGGUUGUCGUCAGCUCGUGUCGUGAGAUGUUGGGUUAAGUCCCGCAACGAGCGCAACCC
rnacentral:rRNA from 1 species